GCGCCGCCCAGCUCAGCCCGGGGGCAGGGACAGAGCAGAGGGAAAAGCCGGGGCAGUUCUGUCACAAGAAGCAACAGUGCACGCCCAGAAAAAUAGCUCAAGGCAAGGUCCCCUUUCAUACUGAAGCAUUCAGUGAAUAUGACCAGCAGAGACCCCUCUUAAUGAAUCUGCAGGACCAUCAAAAGACUUCCAGGAGGAGAAGUAUUGCAACUUGCUGGAAUUCCAGAUUGUGUCAAAUAUGACACUUUGCAUUUGUUCAGCAGUUUCAUUGUGCUGCAAGAGGGAGCUACCCUGGGUCAGACAUGACAUUGGAGAUGGAGGCUUCUGAUAGCUGACUAAGAGGCCAACCUGGUGAUCCCAGUGCCUUUGGAGAUGGCUGAGGUGGACUCCUUUUGCAUCCAAGGGAGAGCAUGUAAACCUGAUAUGAAUGGAGGAGACCAGAGGAGCACAGCAGCGAGGUGGUCUGCAGCAUUGAAAUUGCUACUCCAACAUGACAGACACCCUUGCAGAAAGAGGUCACAGUUGAGCAGUUUCAGGUGGAACCUACCUCGGCAAUGCAACACUUUUGGACACUACAUCGGCAUGUGCCUUUCCAUUUUGUUUUUCCUCUUCUCCCCUGGGAAGGAAGUAAACCUGGAUAUCAGCAGUCAAGGUUGAGUGAGUGAGGUGGCCCACUUGUAUUAUGCCUGCAGGGGCUGAACCCCCUCAUGGACCAGCUGAUGGAGCCAGUUUAUCACCCUUGAGCUGCCCCUGGAUACCCUGUGACGGCGGCCUCGGAGUGCGGCCACAGCGUGUGAGCCGAGGACCGGGGCGUUCUCGGGAGCCGACUGAGAGAACAGCCCUCUGAGGGCAGGAGCUUCCCAGA